GUCUGAUUCAUCUGAAAAUUUCAGGGCAGAUAGAUCUUGACCUGAUAAACAAUAUUAUCCCAUGUCAGAUUUGCUCUAAAUGCUUUGGUUUUUGAGUUAUAAGCCAAAAAACUGCAUUUGACCCCUAUGUUCUAUUUUUAGCAAUGGCGACCAUGUUUGUUGAUAGAUCACAACUUCUGAUACAAUUUACAAACUAGAUACCCUAAGGAACAUUCAGUUAAAGUUUGGAAGUAUUUGGCCCAGUAGUUUCAGAGGAGAAGAUUUUUGUAAAAGAUUACUAAGAUUUACGAAAAAUGGUUAAAAAUUGACUAUAAAGGGCAAUAACUCCUAAAGGGGUCAACUGACCAUUUCCGUCAUGUUGACUUAUUUGUAAAUCUUACUUUGCUGAACAUUAUUCCUGUUUACAGUUUAUCUCUAUCUAUAAUAAUAUUCAAG
rnacentral:lncRNA from 1 species